rnacentral:miRNA from 14 species
AAUGCAGUAUGCUCAGUUAAAUCCGAAUUUCAGAAAAGCAACGAAUAUGUUUUUAGUAUAAGCAUAUCCAUACAAUAGUUGGGUUAUACUUAUGCUAAAAUAUUAUUGGUUGUGUAUCUGAGGUUCUGAUUUAACUGGACGUCCUGUAUUUU